CCUACGGGAGGCAGCAGUAGGGAAUAUUGCUCAAUGGGGGAAACCCUGAAGCAGCAACGCCGCGUGGAGGAUGAAGGUUUUCGGAUUAUAAACUCCUUUUGUUAGAGAAGAUAAUGACGGUAUCUAACGAAUAAGCACCGGCUCACUCCGUGCCAGCAGCCGCGGUAAUACGGAGGGUGCAAGCGUUACUCGGAAUCACUGGGCGUAAAGAGCGCGUAGGCGGGAUAGCAAGUCAGAUGUGAAAUCCUAGGGCUUAACCAUAGAACUGCAGUUGAAACUGUUAUUCUAGAGUAUGGGAGAGGUAGGUGGAAUUCGUGGUGUAGGGGUAAAAUCCGUAGAGAUCAAGAGGAAUACUCAUUGCGAAGGCGACCUGCUAGAACAUAACUGACGCUGAUGCGCGAAAGCGUGGGGAGCAAACAGGAUUAGAUACCCCUGUAGUC
rnacentral:rRNA from 1 species